CGUAGGUGGCAAGCGUUGUCCGGAUUUAUUGGGUUUAAAGGGUGCGUAGGCGGUGAUUUAAGUCAGUGGUGAAAUACUUCAGCUUAACUGGAGAGGUGCCAUUGAUACUGGGUCACUUGAGUACUGAUGAGGUAGGCGGAAUGGACGGUGUAGCGGUGAAAUGCUUAGAUAUCGUCCAGAACACCGAUAGCGAAGGCAGCUUACUAAGGAGUAACUGACGCUGAGGCACGAAAGUGUGGGGAUCAAACAGGAUUAGAUACCCCUGGUAGUCCACACUGUAAACGAUGAUCACUCGAUGUUGGCGAUACACAGCCAGCGUCUUAGCAAAAGCGAUAAGUGAUCCACCUGGGGAGUACGCCGGCAACGGUG
rnacentral:rRNA from 1 species